rnacentral:rRNA from 1 species
GACGAACGCUGGCGGCGUGCUUAACACAUGCAAGUCGAGCGAGAGAGUUCCUUCGGGAACAAUCUAGCGGCGGACGGGUGAGUAACACGUGGGCAACCUGCCUUGUAGAGGGGAAUAGCCUUCCGAAAGGAAGAUUAAUACCGCAUAGUAUCCAGAUACCGCAUGGUGAUUGGAUGAAAGGAGUAAUCCGCUACAAGAUGGGCCCGCGGCGCAUUAGCUAGUUGGUGAGGUAACGGCUCACCAAGGCGACGAUGCGUAGCCGACCUGGGAGGGUGAUCGGCCACAUUGGGACUGAGACACGGCCCAGACUCCUACGGGAGGCAGCAGUGGGGAAUAUUGCACAAUGGGGGAAACCCUGAUGCAGCAACGCCGCGUGAGUGAUGACGGCCUUCGGGUUGUAAAGCUCUGUCUUCAGGGACGAUAAUGACGGUACCUGAGGAGGAAGCCACGGCUAACUACGUGCCAGCCGCCGCAGUAAUAC